rnacentral:lncRNA from 1 species
AGGGCUUGGUGGUGUAACCACGGGAGGUGUUGGUGUAGGUGGUGUAACAAUCGGUGGGGUUGGUGUAGGUGGUGUAACAAUAGGUGGUGAUGGUACAACUGGGGGUAGUGGAACAUAAGGUGGAGGGUAAACAAUUGGUGGUUUCACAAUAGGAGGUGUUGGAACAUAAGGUGGAGGGUAAACAAUUGGUGGUUUCACAAUAGGAGGUUUUGGAACAUAAGGUGGAGGGUAAACAAUGGGUGGUUUUGGCACAUAAGGUGGUGUCACCGGUACAACCGGUGGCUUAGGCACAUAUGGCGGUGUAACUGGUACAACAGGUGGUUUUGGCACAUAAGGUGGAGAAACAACUGGUGGCUUAGGAACAUAAGGUGGUGGUUUCACAACUGGUGGUUUAGGCACAUAAGGAGGUUUCACAAUUGGUGGUUUGGGAACAUGGGGUGGUUUUGGCACAUAAGGUGGUUUCACAAUUGGUGGUUUUGGAACAUGGGGUGGUUUCACAACUGGUGGUUUUGGCACAUGAGGUGGUUUAACCACUGGAGGCUUGGGAUAGUGAGGUGGUUUUGGUGAUGGCUUGGGGGGUGGACAUGGUUCCGGGCCAUGAGAUGGAGGGUACUUUGGGGGGUUAUGAACUG